AACUACACCAAAACGAAAUUUUCUAUUUCUAUUUCUAUUAUAUUGAAUAUGAUAUUGAUCCGAUUUGAUAAAACCUAACCCGCAAUCAUGUGAUUAUGACGAUGGUUGGGCGAACAUGAAUUUUGACACGGCUGUUGAUAGUCAUCAAAGAUAUAUAUUUUUCAAAUUGUUUUUAUAUAUCUUCUUUACAGCGGAGCAAAUGUCUGUCUAAAAUCCAUAUACCCAUUGCAAGGGUUUACUAAUUAUUCCAUUAAAAUUAUUAAAGCUAGUAACAAUAUGGAGUUGGAUUGUAAAGUUCGUUGCCUAAGUCAUUUGUUUUGGCUAGCAUAAAACACAUUAUUCAACGAAAAUCUAAGGCAUGUUUAAGUUUGGCUGGAUGCGGCGGAAAGGAUGUCGUGGGGAUGACCAGGCUGUUGCCGCUGAUUGGACGAGAGUUCAAGGUUGCUGGGUUGCUUUAAUUGAAGUCGCAUUGUUGUAAGCGCUUCGGGCAGCUGUUAACAACGAGCGGCGCGAUGACAGGCGGUGCCACAAAAAUAGAUACUCGUACAUACUUCCGUUGCCGCUCCUUGAUGUUAUCAUAAUACCCUAACCCCUGGGCCCCGGCGAACGCUUGGUGGGAAAACUGCAACUGGAAUCUGUGCGCAGAUGCCUCCCGAGACGAUCCAGUGACCUUAUCGGUCCGCAGAGUGUCCCAUCUUCGACUUGGCAAUGACGCCACUUGGCCAGUUGGUCAGUAAGACGGACCGGGCCCAUCAAUCUAGGCAUCUGGGCAUCUGCCAGCGGUCUUUGUUCUCUCUUCUCGGCAUCGCAAUUUUUUGUAAUUUUAUUGAGUGACUUUAUGCCAGGCAGCCACAUACAUAAAAUCGAUCAUUCAUGCCCGUGGAGCCGGGCAGAUCCAACAGAUUCGAGCAGACCUUGGAAGGUUAAAGCUUGUCGCUACACUCCCGAGACCCGUGCGGAAAUUUUUUUAUAUUUGUCUUAUAUGUUUAUCGAUCGAUGUGGAUUUGUCAAUAAAAAGCCCAGGGAGGCCACAUAGUCAUUUAACUGUGAACAGUCUAGAGAUUGGCUUUGUAUCUGUUAUUUUUUUACUUUUCGCACACUUGAGGACCUGAAGCUUAGCUCCAUCAGAGGUUUCGUGUGUUAUUGAUGGAUACUUCCAAAAGGUUGCUUCAUUGUCGUAAACCAGUUGGACCAAUGGAGCUAAGCUAAAAGAAAUCUCAGUUAUAUGAUGAGAAGUGCAUAAAUUAUGGCCAUUAUUAUAUUAGAUUCUUUUGUAGAAAUUAUAUUUUGCGCACAAAACUAAUUGGAAAGUAUUAAGUUUCUGCCUGAAGAGUGAACGCAGGUUCGUUCCCUUAGUCUUUUGUUUGCUCCAUUAAUAUACAUACAUAAAAAAUUGUUACCUUAGUCUUUCGUUAUUUAAAUCGAAAAUACUUACCAGCAAAAAACAUUAACAACGAUAAUAGAAAGUACGAUACAAAAGAAUUGUAAUGUUAAUUUGAAUAUUAUUUACCAUUACCUUUGUUGUAGGAAACACAUUUUUCAUUUAUUUCCCGAAGUAAACAUAUAAGAGAUAGAACAAAUUGUUAUAUUUGAUUGCCUGGCUGUCAGUUAUUGGAAACAAAUUUAAAGCAAUCUAAAAAACACAUCAGACAGCAAUUUCCAUCAAAUGAUUUUUGUUAACCUGGCUUUGUUUAGAGCAUAACUUUGCCGUGGGGCACCCAUCGAAACGCUUCGACCAGCAUCAGCUGUCGAAAAUAUGACAUAAAAAAGAUUCGAUUAGCCUCAAUUGUUCUAAGACCACUGACAGCUAACCAAAGACUGAGGCAACGAACUUGAAAUUGAAAAACCAGAGAGCAAAAACAAAAACAAAAGAACAAAACAAAGCGGCGCGGGGCAGAAAACUUGACAACGAUGAUGGGCAAGAUGAUAAUCACGAUGAUGACGAUGGCGCAAUGUACAAAUCUGUGAAGUACGUGUUGUUGAGUAUCGUAACCAACUUCAGUUUGCAGUCGGUCGCGGCGGCUGUGUAUGGGACUUAAUAUAUGAGUUGGGUAAAUGCUGCCAGCACGUGCUUGAAACGAGCGUCACUGUAUAUUACCACAAAAUUAUAGCGGUUUGCAAUAGGAGCCGCUGCCACGGAUAGCCGGGCUGGAUGCUGUGGAGCGAUGAUAUUUAGUUUUGCCUAGAAGUGCCACCAGCCGGCCAGCAGCGUAAUCGAUAACCAGUUCCGAAUUGCGGCAAUGAAACCGAAAGCGGAAAAGCCAACUCAGGUCUUGGUACCAGCUCUUAGCCCGGCUCAAAGCGGUUCAGUCCAUCAGAUCGCGGGGUGAGCGGAUCUGAGGAAGCCGAGGGAGCCAAUGAGCCGUGCGCCAAUGCACAUGCUGAAAUUAUUACGCUAAAUUGGCCAGGAGAUCGCCUCGGCCUUACGGUAUAUUCAUCGGCUCGUGGUUACCGCCCAGGGAUAAAAGAAUAGGUGCAUAUACGAAGAGUGCGAUAUGGGUCCGCAUAAAAAGAAUGACUAAUGUAAAGUGUUAGUCCGUACUGCUACAAUUAGCCAUUGCAAACAAUAAACAAUCAAAAAUAGAUAAUUUUAAAUUUAAUAUAAGAUUCAACAUUUUAAAUUAGUUUGCAUUCUGUUCUAACAUAUUUUAUAAAAAUAUGCAAAGAUUUGAAAAUCCAAAAUAAGAACCCUAGGCAAAUAUUAAAAGUUUGGCUUGCGGUUUAAAUAUUCCUAGUCAUGUGUACUUAUCCAAAUUAAAGCAUUAAAAUAUAUAGAUCAAAGAAUUGAUACUUAGGAAUUCAUGUAAAACUCUUAAAAUAAUCUGAUCGUGAGUCAGAGUGUCACUUCAAAUUUCUAAUAGGUAUGGUAAGUAAAGUAAGCAAAUGAAUUCGUUGGAUGUUUCUUUUACACGUUUUAUUCAUGUUGUUUAGGGAUAUCGCCAUAAAAAAGUGUCCAAGGAGAUCGCUUGAUCGCUUUUGUGGUGCUUUAACCUUAUAGUAAGAUAUAUCUAUGGCUUCUGGAUGUUAUACACGACCCAGCUCCCAUCUCUGAAGCACUCACUUAGCUGAAAUGUAAAUUGAAUUGUAGCAAUUCGAAGGUCAUACGCCCUUAGCCGAAAUAUGCAAAUUGCGCAGCGUUGCGGCCAUGUGAAAAAUGCUUUUCUUCCGGCUCGCAAUGGAAUGGAAACCUCCGAAGCCCAGUUCAUGACAAUGAACUCUGACUGGAGGAGAUAGGGGAAGUUGGGUGGGGAUGCGAUGGGAUGGGAUAGAAGGGGAUGGGAUGGGAUGGCUUAGAACGAACGUGGCCAAUUAGUUAUAAUGCUGCUUCGUGAUAUCACAACAUCUGGCAACUCACUCUCAAAGAGCCAGACAACGGCCAAGGCAAAAGCAACAACCUUUGGCGCUGCGGCCGCAGGCAGAAAGAAAGAGUCAACGCCGAAGCCAAUGAGGAAAGUCUGGAAAAGCAAAAAGCCAGCGCUCGGCGAAGAAAUUACUCAAGUCUGCAAAGUAUGUAGCAACUAACAACAGCAGCAGCAUUAACAAAGGCAACUCGGCUGUGGCAAGAACAACAGCGGCGAAGGCAACUGGCCAACUGAGCAACUGAGCAACUGAGCUGGGCCUACAACAAAAACGAACAAUGACAAUCUGCACGUAGCAAUCAGUCAACGUGCGGCAGUUGGUUUAACUCCAACUUGUUGCCAGCUAGAUAGAAGAUACUGCGCCCAGGGUGAGGAAGCAGAUGCACUGAAGCGGGGGCGGGGCCGGGGGACUCCGACAAACUGCAAAUGCAAAAUGCAAAACGUGGCUCUGUCUCCGCCAAUAGAGAUGGGCAAUUUUAAUGAAUUUUCCCCGGCCGGUGAAAGAGGCAGAAAUAAUUAAAUGCAAGUGAGGAAAAGUAAAAACAGCCGUGCCAGCACACGGAAAGCGGAAUUAAAAGUGGGAAAAUAAUGGAGAUGGAAUAAAUCGCCCAGCUCAAGAAGGGGAAUAAUUCAUAGGAAGAAUUUCUACAGUAGCCGGAAAGACAUGCUUUGGGUACAUAUUUCAAUUGCCACAGGAACACAUAACUUCAGUUGGAUAACGCCAAUUAAUGGUGGUAUGGAUAAUAAGUAACUUUUUAUUUUUUUAAAGUUUGAUACAAUAAUAUUACAAAUAGACCAUAAAUUUGCAUUUCUGCAAUCCACUGUAGCUAAUAAAGGGUUUACAUACUAUAUUUAAAACAAAAAUGCAAUAAGCAUUCUUCUAGUGUCAAUUUUUCUUAUUAACUAGAUCUAUAAAAGGGAAAAACAAUUUUUAAACAUAAUUUUAAAUAAAGUCAGGGGCACGUAUUUCUGCCAUCUCUAGCCAUAUACAUAGGACUCCUCAACUCCUCUGGUGGGUACACCAACACCAAAGAAAUCCAAUCUCUAGAAUGGCAAUACAUACUUGCACUUAAUUAGCGUUUUUCGUUAUAUUUCGUCUCUUUGCGCUAAGUUGGCUGUCAGCUGUGAGCUAAAGUAGCAUAUUUAAUGCUGGCGCACAUAAUUCAUAAUGGCCAAGUGAGCUGACAGACGACUCAAAUCGGAGAGAAAGAUUUUCUAGUUGGUCUCGGCCCAAACGGAAUUAAGCCAAAUUUGCCGCUUCAGCUGGCGGCGGCUGCUGCUGAAAACUAGUUUAUUUUUUAACGCGAAAUGCAAAAGCCUGCCCACCGCAGAUACAGAUACAGAUACACAUAUAUAUGGAGUCACAGGCACGGAUACAGAUACAUAUACAGAUACGGAUUCCGAUUCCGAUUCUGGCACACACAUGCAGUUUCAUUUUCUGACACAUAAUUCCACAUUCGUGGUAGGGGAAACAGAACAGAAGUCUCAGAAAAACAAGCGGGCUUAAUUUCAGUAUUUGCUCUAAGUUAAUUAGAAGCCCAAGGAAGUGCCACGGAAAAAAGAGGUUGGCAUGUUACAGCAGCUUUUAACACCGUUCAGAGUUCAGAUCCCCCGAUUUUCCAGCCUCUCUUCUCGUCCCGCUUUUAGUCAGUUUUCAUGUCAUUAACACAGUUUGCCACACUCGUUCAAUUCGUUGGCCCACAGAGCUGUUGAAAAUAUAAUAAUAAUCGUAAGUUAUUGCCCCAGCUGCAGUCCGUUGCUUUAACUCGCAUUCGUUAGGCUUUAGCCCUCUCGAGUGAAUAUUAACCAGAAGUUCAUGGGCCCACUGGCUGCUGAUUAUGCCAAGUGUACCACAGAUAUAAAAAGUCCAACAAUUAGGUCUGGUUCUUAUCUAAAAGGGGAACUGGAUUGCUGAAUCGUGGGAAACCAAAGAUUUGGCUAAACUUUAAGUUAAUUUUAAGUCAGUUAAGGGGGAAAAUCGCAACUGCUACCAUAACGCACAUUUUUUAUUGGGCGUCGUGAAAAAAUUGUGUAGCAAGCCUCUGGGUAUUUUGCUAUGCAAUUUUUUUUAACCCCUUAGGGUAAUGAAGGUCACAGCUCCGUAAAAUGGAUAAACAAGGGCAAAAACUGUUUGCAAGUCCAACACAAACCGAUUAAGAUUCCAGUGGAUAUAGCUCGGGGUUUUGCCCAAUACCCGUAAAAACAAAAAUAAAUGCACACUAGUGGGACUGACUUUCUCCAUGGCUCGAGGGUGCAGAGUUAGCCCAUUGACAUGAAAUCGUUUGACAUCAUUAGGGCCGCCAUAAAUUGGCCGGCAAAAGUGUGAAAUAUGGCAAUAUGGGUAAUUUCCUCGAAUUGGGAACAUCUGCGUCUGGGUUCGGGCUCUGGGUCAGGCCAAUUAAGGCUGACCGUGGGCAGGAUUGUGACAUAUUUACUGAUUUAUCUGCGAGCAUUUGGCUAAGGUUGCAAUCUAAGCACAUGAAAACAAAACACAUAUAUAUAUAAACACACCUAUUUAUUAUUUUAUUUUUUUACUUCUUAUUUGUCUUGUCAUGCAUAUAUGUCAUCAAAAA